rnacentral:rRNA from 1 species
UGCCAGCCGCCGCGGUAAUACGCAGGAUCCAUGCGUUAUCCGGAAUUAUUGGGUUUAAAGGGUCCGCAGGCUGUUUGUUAAGUCAGGGGUGAAAUCCUACCGCUCAACGGUAGAACUGCCUUUGAUACUGGCAAACUUGGGUUAUUGUGAAGUAGUUAGAAUGUGUAGUGUAGCGGUGAAAUGCAUAGAUAUUACACAGAGUACCGAUUGCGAAAGCAGAUUACUAACAAUAUACUGACGCUGAGGGACAAAAGCGGGGGUAGCGAACAGGAUUAGAUA